ensembl:lncRNA novel transcript
AGUUUCUAGCAAAACGUUAACCACGGGGACCACCAACAGCAAGGAAAAUCUAGCAAGCGGCCAACACCUCAACCAUUGUGAGAUGCAAUCAGUCUGGCGUGGUGAGCUUUAGAGGAGAUCUUUCCGGAACAGAGUGGAGAGUCUCAAAAUUUAGCAGCCAUGCCUGUCUCCAAAGAGCAGACCACACACAAAUUCCACAAGUCAGUGACCCUUGUGUCCUGUGUUCUACCUCCUCCUCUUGACAAUUAACACGUCAUUCCCUCAGACACUCCUGCUGUCCUGGUUAGUGAUGGAGCUCCCCUGCCCAUCUCUGCCUUAGACCCAAGUCAGCUUCUCUGGACUGAAGAGCCAACAGACAGAACCACUCUGCAUCAGACACUGGUUUACACAUCAGAGAAGACAACAUUUUCACAACCAACAAUACAUCAGGAAAGACAGCACCUCAGCUAAUGAUUCCUACAUUGAUGGGAAGAUCUUCAGAAUCUUUCAGUGUCCCAAAGGAUGAAGAUCAAAGGGAAUCACUGAGCCAGUGACUCUGACGGGUCUAUUUUGGAUACCAAUGACCACAAGGAAGAAGAUAAGGAUGGCAGUGGAGGCUCUGGCACGUAACACAGCUUCACUUGUCAUGAAGGAGAGUGGGCAGCUGCUUUUUGGGGAAGAACUCCUCAGCUGUACAGCCCAAAGGCAGCAAUGAGAAACAGGAAGGAUGCACUGGCCCUUGCUGUCUAACACGUGUCACUGAUGACUAAGAAGACAGAUUUCUCAACUUAUUA